AUGGAGGCGAGGGUUGCGGUGCUCGUGCUGCUGGCGCUGGUGCUCGUCCCGGAGGCGUGCCGGGCGGAGCGGUUCGUCGUCGGCGACGCGGCGCGGUGGACGUGGGGGUACAACUACACCGACUGGGUCAUCAGGAAGGGCCCCUUCUUCCAGGACGACACCCUUGUGUUCACGUACGACCCGCCGAACGCGACGACGCACGCGCACAGCGUGUACAUGAUGCGGAACCUGGCCGACUACCAGUCCUGCAACCUCAAGGCGGCCAAGCUGGUGGCCGGCGUGGCCGAGGGCGCCGGCGCGGGCUUCGAGUUCGUCCUCAAGAAGCGCAAGAUGCACUACUUCGUCUGCGGCGAGCGCCAAGGCCUCCACUGCACCGCCGGCCAGAUGAAGUUCAUCGUCAAGCCCAAGAGCUCCGUCUGCCGCGACUGA
rnacentral:rRNA from 1 species